GUUUGAUCCUGGCUCAGGACGAACGCUGGCGGCGUGCUUAACACAUGCAAGUCGAACGGUGAUGGGUGGAGCUUGCUCUGCUUUGAUCAGUGGCGAACGGGUGAGUAACACGUGAGUAACCUGCCCCAGACUCUGGAAUAACCUCGGGAAACCGAUGCUAAUACCGGAUACGACGCAGAGCCGCAUGGUUUCUGUGUGGAAAGUUUUUCGGUUUGGGAUGGACUCGCGGCCUAUCAGCUUGUUGGUGAGGUAAUGGCUCACCAAGGCGACGACGGGUAGCCGGCCUGAGAGGGCGAUCGGCCACACUGGGACUGAGACACGGCCCAGACUCCUACGGGAGGCAGCAGUGGGGAAUAUUGCACAAUGGGCGAAAGCCUGAUGCAGCGACGCCGCGUGAGGGAUGAAGGCCUUCGGGUUGUAAACCUCUUUCAGCUCUGAAGAAGCGAAAGUGACGGUAGGAGCAGAAGAAGCACCGGCUAACUACGUGCCAGCAGCCGCGGUAAUACGUAGGGUGCGAGCGUUGUCCGGAAUUAUUGGGCGUAAAGAGCUUGUAGGCGGUUUGUCGCGUCUGCUGUGAAAAUCCGGGGCUCAACUCCGGACUUGCAGUGGGUACGGGCAGACUAGAGUGUGGUAGGGGAGACUGGAAUUCCUGGUGUAGCGGUGAAAUGCGCAGAUAUCAGGAGGAACACCGAUGGCGAAGGCAGGUCUCUGGGCCACUACUGACGCUGAGAAGCGAAAGCGUGGGGAGCGAACAGGAUUAGAUACCCUGGUAGUCCACGCCGUAAACGUUGGGAACUAGGUGUGGGUCUCAUUCCACGAGAUCCGUGCCGCAGCUAACGCAUUAAGUUCCCCGCCUGGGGAGUACGGCCGCAAGGCUAAAACUCAAAGGAAUUGACGG
rnacentral:rRNA from 1 species